GAUGGCUCGGUCACACCACCGUUCUAGGAGGGGUAGGUCCCGACCUUCGUUCUCGCCGACAACUCCGCCGUCGGCUGCUUUGCACAGGGUUGCGGAGGCAUCCUGGGCGUUUAGACGCCGGGCUGAUCGUGUCAGUUUCGAACGGGCCGUAACCGGGAUUGCUUCUAGAGUAUCUUCAUGAAGACGGAUCACACACCAGUGCGGUAUGCAAGGUGGAUGCACUGCCUUGUACUAGUCCACGACAAGUAGCACAAGACACCCGAAGUGCCCAACGCCUACGCCCUGGAUACCGUGGACCCGUUCCUGGUCCCAUUACGUUGUAGGUUAGGAAACAAGUAGUAUGUAAAUAGAUUUAAAGUGCUGGAAGCGUGUAUAACAUAGUAAGUUCACAAAAUGGGAUCCCUGCAAAAUCAAAAUAAAAAAGAUGGGUAGGAUGAACUGAUUUAUUGGGGCAAAAGGUAAUACUAUUUUCAUUUGUGUGAGAUUGUUUGUGUUUGUAACAAAAUUGG